rnacentral:rRNA from 1 species
CGCAAGCCUGAUGCAGCCAUGCCGCGUGUAUGAAGAAGGCCUUCGGGUUGUAAAGUACUUUCAGCAGUGAGGAAGGUGGGUAUGUUAAUAGCGUACUCAUUUGACGUUAGCUGCAGAAGAAGCACCGGCUAACUCCGUGCCAGCAGCCGCGGUAAUACGGAGGGUGCGAGCGUUAAUCGGAAUUACUGGGCGUAAAGCGCAUGCAGGUGGUUUGUUAAGUCAGAUGUGAAAGCCCGGGGCUCAACCUCGGAAUUGCAUUUGAAACUGGCAAACUAGAGUACUGUAGAGGGGGUAGAAUUUCAGGUGUAGCGGUGAAAUGCGUAGAGAUCUGAAGGAAUACCGGUGGCGAAGGCGGCCCCCUGGACAGAUACUGACACUCAGAUGCGAAAGCGUGGGGAGCAAACAGGAUUAGAUACCCUGGUAG